GGCUGUGUGGUCUAGUGGUAUGAUUAUCGCUUAGGGUGCGAGAGGUCCCGAGUUCAAUUCUCGGCACAGCCC
rnacentral:tRNA from 1 species